rnacentral:rRNA from 1 species
AUAGCUUGCUAUCAGGCGUCGAGCGGCGGACGGGUGAGUAACGCGUAGGAACCUACCCAGUAGUUCGGGAUAGCCCAGAGAAAUUUGGAUUAAUACCGGAUACGCCCUACGGGGGAAAGGGGGCUUCGGCUCUCGCUAUUGGAUGGGCCUGCGUGAGAUUAGCUUGUUGGUGAGGUAAGAGCUCACCAAGGCAACGAUCUCUAGCUGGUCUGAGAGGAUGAUCAGCCACACUGGGACUGAGACACGGCCCAGACUCCUACGGGAGGCAGCAGUGGGGAAUAUUGCACAAUGGGCGCAAGCCUGAUGCAGCCAUGCCGCGUGUGUGAAGAAGGCUCUAGGGUUGUAAAGCACUUUCAGCAGYGAGGAAAGCUUGUUGGUUAAUACCCAUCAAGUGUGACGUUAACUGCAGAAG